AGUGAACGCUGGCGGUAGGCCUAACAUAUGCAAGUCGAACGGCAGCACAGUAAGAGCUUGCUCUUACGGGUGGCGAGUGGCGGACGGGUGAGGAAUACAUCGGAAUCUACUUUUUCGUGGGGGAUAACGUAGGGAAACUUACGCUAAUACCGCAUACGACCUACGGGUGAAAGCAGGGGAUCUUCGGACCUUGCGCGAUUGAAUGAGCCGAUGUCGGAUUAGCUAGUUGGCGGGGUAAAGGCCCACCAAGGCGACGAUCCGUAGCUGGUCUGAGAGGAUGAUCCGCCACACUGGAACUGAGACACGGUCCAGACUCCUACGGGAGGCAGCAGUGGGGAAUAUUGGACAAUGGGCGCAAGCCUGAUCCAGCCAUACCGCGUGGGUGAAGAAGGCCUUCGGGUUGUAAAGCCCUUUUGUUGGGAAAGAAAAGCAGCAGGUUAAUACCCCGCUGUUCUGACGGUACCCAAAGAAUAAGCACCGGCUAACUUCGUG
rnacentral:rRNA from 1 species